AUGGCUGCGGCCAGGGGCUCCGGGUGCUCCCCUCGACGCGGCCGACGCGGCCCGGACCUGCAGCCCCGGCUCCCGCCCCAGGAGAACCAGCCGCGCCGCUUAGGGAGCAUUUGUCCACAAGCUCCCCAAGGCCCCCCAGGCCUGGGAACUACACCUGCAGCCGUGGGAGAAUUGAAGCCUUGGGCUCCAUUCGCAUCUCACUGAUCUCACAUUAUCUCCAAGUGCUCAUUUAUCUACUUAAUGUUUGUCGAGCACCUAUUUUGUUCCAAGCCCGGUGCCAGGAGCUGAGUAUGCACUGGUGUACAAAAGACAGGGCUCCUGCCCUUUCCGAGCUCAUCACCUACCAGGAGAGAUGGGCAUAAAUUUACCUAGCAAACGUCCAGUUCCAGCUGGGAGACGUUCUGUGAAGGAGACGGACAGGGUGAAGUGAUAGAAAAUAAACCUGAGGGCUGGGGAGAGGGGGCUUCCAGCAAUGGAGUCGGAGCCCAAAUGCUGCUCCUCUGGUCAAGAAUACCUUCUCGCCCUCCUUGUCACUUCCUUGAGGCCGAGCCCCUGAAGCUGCCAUCUCUUAAGCAGGGACCUGCCUCAAUUUCUUUCAAGGUGAAUUAAUUGCCUAGCGGACAAAAAGACAAAUACAUGGUGACAGGAAGUGUUUCCUGGCAAAGCCCGGGAAGGAACUGAGAGGGCAGGCAUCUUUCUCUUCAAGACUUACCUGCUAGGUGGGGCUCUCGGAAGAAAUGGUUUUCCCUUUGAGAUGUGGCCCCGUGGGCCUUCAGACCUGGCUGAAGUCAGAAAGCACCAAAUUCUCGCUUUGGGAUCCCCGAGCAGGACCUUUCACCGCUCUGUUCCUGAGAUGCCGCCAUACUUAAUGUGUGGAAUAAUUAUUGCCUUUCAUACUCCACAAGAUUUGUGUAAUCACUGAAAUCACCUUCUGGAGAUGAUUCUGGAGACUGUUCCAGGGCACAGAUACCAGCCUUCCUGAGUAUGGACCACAGGGCUAAUGCAGAGAAUCACUGUCUUCUAAACUAGGUAAAUAUUCUUCUGGGUCAAGGGGCUGGUAACCUUGAGCUUUCUCUCCCAAGGUGGAGGGCGAGAAGUGGUGGUUGUUAAAGUGGCAGUAGCAGGGGCUGCAACUCAGGAAGCCACAGAAAACCCAGCCACGUGUUACAUUUAGCACAUCCACCUUGGGCUGUCAAUCUGAGGGGCUAGUGCCAAAAAGAAACCGACAGAAGAGAAAAGCUAAGUAGGGUAAGAGAGGUUGAGAGGAGAGGGCGGUGGGAGCAAACAGUUCACAUGAUCCUUCAUUCCUACUCAGCCAUGGUUUUGAGAGCUCUUCCUCGCUGUGUGACCUUGAACUUACUGAACUGCUCAGCCUUCUUUCUUUAACAUCACACCAUCUACCCCAGGCGGUUGUGAGGA